rnacentral:lncRNA from 1 species
GCUGUAUAUCAACCUAGGAUUAUGCCCACCAAUCGGUAUGUGCUCAGAGGCUUGGGACUUUAUGACUCCUUUCCCCUUUCUGCCUUGUAAUUGUUCAUUGUCUUGAGCCUGUUACACAGUAAACUCCCAGCAAAUGUGACCUGCAUAUGUAUCUAAUACUUGGCCAUCUUUUACCUCAGGAAUCAUAUACUGUUUUUCUCAGAAAGACUCUGAACAAGUCACCAUUAGCUUACAGAAGCUGGGGGUCCGUGCAGGCACUUACCAUGCCAACAUGGAGCCGGAGGACAGGACCAAGGUUCACACGCAGUGGUCAGCCAAUGAGCUUCAGGUGGUAGUGGCAACAGUCGCAUUUGGCAUGGGAAUUGAUAAGCCUGACGUGAGGUUUGUCAUCCAUCAUUCAA